AGUUUAGUUUCCUGCUUAGUGUUUCUAUGCUUGUUUAUUGUUAGGUUAUUUGUUCUUGCUGCACUCUUCUAGUUCAUUAGUUUCUUUUCACUGUUCCUCCUCUUGUCAUUAGUUCCCCUUCAGUUAUUAUGUACUCAGUGUUUGUUUCCCUUUAUGUUAGUAGUUCUUCCCAGCCUUAUCCCUAGUUGAAUUCCCCGUGUUGGUUUCUAUUGUUUUAGUUUCUUCUAUAGGUUAGCUUGUAGUUAUUGUUUGCCACUAUACUUUGUUCCACUUGUCGUUUACGUUUUGAUUUGCAUUUAUUCUAGUCUUUGCUUUUCUCUGCUUUCCUCCCAGUUUGUUUCAGUCAGUGCUUGUUUGGGUUUGUUUACUUUUUUUGUUAGGGUUUCCUUUAUGGUUUCUUUUGUUAAUUCUUAUUUGCCAGGUUCUUAUAGCUGAGGUUGUUAUAGUUUUCCUAGAUCUGUUUCUCUGAGUUUGUUAAUUAGUCCCUUCUCCCAUGGUUUAGUUUUGUAUUAGUUUCACCUGUCCUUCAGCCUCCCUGCUUGCCAUGUCACACCUGUCCCUAGUUCCAUUGAUUACCUGUCUAUUGUUCCACACUCAUUUCCCUCUGUAUAUUACUUGGUCUGUUUUCUUUGUUCCCUGCUGGUUUGUUGCAUCAACUUCCCAAAUUGUUUCUCUGUCUGACCUGGAAUCCUGUAAAACUCACUGUUACACCCUGCCUGCCUGCCUUCUGUUUAGCCGGAGUUUGGAUUUAAAUAAGUCAUCGUUCUGCUCGCCAUGCCGUGUCCUCGCCUGCCUCUGCACUUUGGUCCACAAAAAUCCCUGAGUAUGACAAUCAGGACAUCUCUGUACACUUCUAUAUUUCUGCAAAAAGAUUGUUCCUGCAAACAGAGCCCUCUUCAUCUGGAUUAAGAGGAAAAUCAAACGAAUCAUCUUCUGCAUUUUGCUUGUGGAAAACAUUUACAGUUUUCUGGAUUUUCUUCUUUUUUUUUUUUAUGGGACUUAUGGAUCCCAAACUUCAUGGAUUUAAGGUCAAUAUGACUUGUAUUGUUGAACAUGCAUUCAUUGAUAUACCUGCAGAAGACUUUCCAAACCAGCCUGCAGAUAUAAUUACCAUUAUGAUUAUUAUACAGAGGUCUCAUUGUUAAAUCUCUUUUGUUGUGAUGAUGGCAUCUAGUGGUGUCACCAUAGUCUACCUGGGAAGGCACAUUUGCCGUAUGGUUAUAAAUGGACAGUCCCUUUCCAGUGCACAACUCGGUAGCCAAGUGAGGGUCACCGUCAUUGGGAUCCUUCAGGGUCUCCUGUUUUUCCUUUGCUGUAUGGUGGGAGUACGCAUUUGUUUCUCAGCACUAUCAGUCAGCUUUCAUAACUCCUUUUUAUAUAUGAUCAACGGUGGUCAGCUUCUACGUGUCUGGCACCACAUUUAACCUGGGAGCUGGUCAAUCUGUAUUUAGGCAGAGAGCAGCAGAUGUAUGGAGCAGAGUAGGCCGGAGGUGCAAAAGCUCACAUCAAAGAGAGCUCUAGUAUGAAAAAUUUAAGAAAAACGGCAAAAUGCUUCAAAGAAAAAUGACUAAAUGCAUUAUCUCCUUCAGGUAAAACAUUUUACUCACUCCAUUGCUUUCAAUGUGCAAAUAUUAUGAAUUUGUAUUCACACGGCUCAAAGAUUGUGUCUGAUAUUCAUCUGUGAUGUGAGCAAAUGUCCUGUAAUUUGGGACGUCAACUUCAUGGUCGUUUUAACUUUGAUGUGCAUUGCUUGCAAUUCUUUCUCAAAAACUAUCACAGCAACAUUUCAUACCACAACCUGCUGCCUAGUGGUAAACUAUGUGCUUUAAUGCUGAUAUUUAAAUAUGUAUCAUCAGUAGCAAAUCUGCCAUGGAUUAACAAUUUGAGAAGCAUUUUUUUCUGUGUUUGUGAUGUGUUGAUUCUUGUGUUUUAUUCAGACAUACCUUUUUAUUUGAAUAAAAAUCUUGCAUAUU